rnacentral:rRNA from 1 species
UACGGAGGGUGCAAGCGUUAUCCGGAUUCACUGGGUUUAAAGGGUGCGUAGGUGGGCAGGUAAGUCAGUGGUGAAAUCUCCGGGCUUAACUCGGAAACUGCCAUUGAUACUAUCUGUCUUGAAUACCGUGGAGGUCAGCGGAAUAUGUCAUGUAGCGGUGAAAUGCUUAGAUAUGACAUAGAACACCAAUUGCGGAGGCAGCUGGCUACACGAAUAUUGACACUGAUGCACGAAAGCGUGGGGAUCAAACAGG